rnacentral:rRNA from 1 species
AUGGCCCUACGGGGGGCAGCAGUGAGGAAUAUUGGUCAAUGGCCGCAGGGCUGAACCAGCCAAGUCGCGUGAGGGAUGACGGUCCUAUGGAUUGUAAACCUCUUUUGUCAGGGAGCAAAGGGCGCCACGUGUGGCGUUUUGCGAGUACCUGAAGAAAAAGCAUCGGCUAACUCCGUGCCAGCAGCCGCGGUAAUAAGGAGGAUGCGAGCGUUAUCAGGAUUUAUUGGGAUUAAAGGGUGCGCAGGCGGAAUGUCAAGUCAGCGGAAAAAUUUCGGGGCUCAACCCCGU